CUCAACGACCGCGAACAAUUUUAACGCUUAUGACCACUGUAUAGAGUUAAUAAUCGGAAGACCAACGUGGAUACUCUCAUUACGAAUCACGGAUGUAACAAACAAAUGUAUUCAAAACUCUCCAUUACCAGAAACUUCACUAGAUGGCGCUGUAUCCUUCAUUCCUCGAAAACGAAUUUGUUCAUCCAUAAUUUCUAUUUAUAAUGCAAAAAUAAACUUUUUAAAUAAUUAAACACAUACUUUUUAAAUCUAUCUCGUUUUUCUUAUAGACAUGUAUAAAUUUUAAGUCAAUUAAAAAUGUUUGGCAAUAUAAAAAAAUAUUAUAAAUUUAAAAUUCUGAAUCACGCUAUAGAAGUUUUUUCAACAAUCUGUAUAUAUAGACAGCUACUUUGGGUUUCAAUGGGAGUUCCAUCCAGUUCAGCUUUCGGGGUUACAUACGAAUCUUCUAUGGUUCUCUUCACCCUGUGGAAAGUCCCCGGAGACAAGGCGGAAAGCGUCACACCGUGAAGGUGCAGGCCGGUGCGGCGUCGUAGGGUAGGUCGACCUGCGCGAUGUCGCUCCGUAGCGUUGCUCAGAGCACAGGGAAUGUUGAGAGGACUCUGUCCAUAACCAAAUGGGGCUUACUCGGAACGGAACUUCUACUUUUUGGACACAAAUUUUUGUAUAAUAUCAAAUUGACCUACUAUAAAAACAAAUGAAUAUUUUU